UUCUUGACCUCAGAUCAGGCAAGGCUACCCGCUGAAUUUAAGCAUAUUAAUAAGCGGAGGAAAAGAAACUAACAAGGAUUCCCUCAGUAACAGCGAGUGAAGCGGGAACAGCUCAAAUUUGAAAUCUCCGGCGCUUGCGUCGGCGAGUUGUAGUUGCGAGAAGC
rnacentral:rRNA from 1 species